GAUGAACGCUGGCGGCGUGCCUAAUACAUGCAAGUCGAGCGAACGGACGAGAAGCUUGCUUCUCUGAUGUUAGCGGCGGAGGGGUGAGUAACACGUGGAUAACCUACCUAUAAAACUGGGAUAACUUCGGGAAACCGGAGCUAAUACCGGAUAAUAUUUUGAACCGCAUGGUUCAAAAGUAAAAGACGGUCUUGCUGUCACUUAUAGAUGGAUCCGCGCUGCAUUAGCUAGUUGGUAAGGUAACGGCUUACCAAGGCAACGAUGCAUAACCGACCUGACCGGGUGAUCGGCCACACUGGAACUGAGACACGGUACAGCCUCCUCCGGGAGGCAGCAGUAGGGACUCUUCCGCAAUGGGCGGAAGCCUGACGGAGCAACGCCGCGUGAGUGAUGAAGGUCUUCGGAUCGUAAAACUCUGUUAUUAGGGAAGAACAUAUGUGUAAGUAACUGUGCACAGCUUGACGGUACCUAAUCAGAAAGCCACGGCUAACUACGUG
rnacentral:rRNA from 1 species